GACGGAGGGUGCAAACGUUGUUCGGAAUCACUGGGCGUAAAGGGCGCGUAGGCGGACUUGUAAGUCGGGAGUGAAAACUCGGGGCUCAACCCCGAGCCUGCUUCCGAAACUGCGAGUCUUGAGGACCGGAGAGGAAAGUGGAAUCCUAGUGUAGCGGUGGAAUGCGUAGAUAUUAGGAAGAACACCAGUGGCGAAGGCGACUUUCUGGACGGUUCCUGACGCUGAGGCGCGAAAGCUAGGGGAGCAAACAGG
rnacentral:rRNA from 1 species